rnacentral:rRNA from 1 species
AGUGAACGCUGGCGGUAGGCCUAACACAUGCAAGUCGAACGGCAGCACAGUAAGAGCUUGCUCUUACGGGUGGCGAGUGGCGGACGGGUGAGGAAUACAUCGGAAUCUACUUUUUCGUGGGGGAUAACGUAGGGAAACUUACGCUAAUACCGCAUACGACCUACGGGUGAAAGCAGGGGAUCUUCGGACCUUGCGCGAUUGAAUGAGCCGAUGUCGGAUUAGCUAGUUGGCGGGGUAAAGGCCCACCAAGGCGACGAUCCGUAGCUGGUCUGAGAGGAUGAUCAGCCACACUGGAACUGUGACACGGUCCAGACUCCUACGGGAGGCAGCAGUGGGGAAUAUUGGACAAUGGGCGCAAUCCUGAUCCAGCCAUACCGCGUGGGUGAAGAAGGCCUUCGGGUUGUAAAGCCCUUUUGUUGGGAAAGAAAAGCAGCAGGUUAAUACCCCGCUGUUCUGACGGUACCCAAAGAAUAAGCACCGGCUAACUUCGUG